rnacentral:rRNA from 1 species
GACGAACCGAGCGAACGUUAUUCGGAAUUACUGGGCGUAAAGGGUGCGUAGGUGGUUAGGUAAGUCCGAUGUGAAAUCUCCAGGCUCAACCUGGAAAUGGCAUUGGAUACUAUCUAGCUUGAGGAGUGGAGGGGGGACUGGAAUUCUCGGUGUAGCAGUGAAAUGCGUAGAUAUCGAGAGGAACACCAGUGGCGAAGGCGAGUCCCUGGACACUUCCUGACACUGAGGCACGAAAGCUAGGGGAGCAAACAGG